UCCUUGUUAGCUCAGUUGGUAGAGCGUUCGGCUUUUAAGCAUUUGUCUUAAACCAAGGAUACCGAAAUGUCAGGGGUUCGAACCCCCUAUGAGGAG
rnacentral:tRNA from 1 species